CCGACUGCUAUUUGGGUGAGAAUAAGCCAUGCGAGUUGAAUGGGAUCCCUAAAGUUCCCAUAGCAAACUGCUCAGUAACACAUGAUCAACUUACCCUAUAGAGAAAAAUAACCUCGGGAAACUGAGGAUAAUGUUUCAUAAUUGAAUUGGCUUGGAAAAGUUUUUCAAUGAAAAGGAUAAAAAAAAUGGUUUUUAUCUGCUAUAGGAUAGGAUCGUGUUCGAUUAUGGUUGUUGGUGAGAUAAUGGCUCACCAAGCCGAUAAUCGAUAGGGGCCGUGAGAGCGGGAGCCCCGAGAUGGGUACUGAGACAACGACCCAGGCCUUACGAGGCGCAGCAGGCGCGGAACCUCCGCAAUACACGAAAGUGUGACGGGGUUACCUAAAGUGUUCAAUAGAACUGUGGUAGGUGAGUAAUGUCCCCUACUAGAAAGGAGAGGGCAAGGCUGGUGCCAGCCGCCGCGGUAAAACCAGCUCUUCAAGUGGUCGGGAUAAUUAUUGGGCUAAAAGUGUCCGUAGCCGGUUUAGUAAGUUCCUGGUAAAAUCGGGUAGCUUAACUAUCUGCAUGCUAGGAAUACUGCUAUACUAGAGGGCGGGAGAGGUCUGAGGUACUACAGGGGUAGGGGUGAAAUCUUAUAAUCCUUGUAGGACCACCAGUGGCGAAGGCGUCAGACUGGAACGCGCCUGACGGUGAGGGACGAAAGCCAGGGGAGCGAACCGGAUUAGAUACCCGGGUAGUCCUGGCCGUAAACGAUGCAUACUAGGUGAUGGUACGGCCAUGAGCCGUAUCAGUGCCGUAGGGAAACCGUUAAGUGUGCCGCCUGGGAAGUACGGUCGCAAGGGCUAAAACUUAAAGGAAUU
rnacentral:rRNA from 1 species